rnacentral:misc_RNA from 1 species
UCCGAGCCUGGACCAGUCCUGUCUCUACCGUCAUCUCUGUGUGACUUAACUUCAGUGUCCACAACAUUGUUAGAUGCCUGGACGAUAGGAGUAGGAACAGCGCCAGAUUCAAGCAUCACAACAGUCUUCUCAACUACCGGAUCCAGUACUCGGUUUUCAUCAACAUUGCCAAAUCUCUGGGACCUCUCGUCAUUUUUUAUCGUAGAAUUUUUUGUCCCAGUGCCUUUCUGAGUCUCCUUGGGAGAUGGCUUCUGGACGGUAGUAGAAGCUCUUGACGUUUUG